UACGGGGGGGGCAAGCGUUGUUCGGAAUUACUGGGCGUAAAGGGCCAGUAGGCGGCCAACUAAGUCCGACGUGAAAUCCCCAGGCUUAACCUGGGAACUGCGUCGGAUACUGGAUGGCUUGAAUUCGGGAGAGGGAUGCAGAAUUCCAGGUGUAGCGGUGAAAUGCGCAGAUAUCAGGAGGAACACCGAUGGCGAAGGCAGGUCUCUGGGCCACUACUGACGCUGAGAAGCGAAAGCAUGGGGAGCGAACAGG
rnacentral:rRNA from 1 species